rnacentral:lncRNA from 1 species
CCCUACCUGUUUUCCAAAAACUAUCAGUGGAUCAUAUUUGCUAUGACAUUAAAUGUAACUGUGACUUGGCUUUUAAAGCCUUUCAAAAUCCAGCUCCACCAUGCCUUUCUGAAUUCACUCCCUAAAGCUCCAUAAUCCUGAGUAAAUUCUCAUUUCAAUUGGAAUCAUUUCCAUAAAUAUUCAUUGAGCACCUAGUUAAUCCCAGACACUGUGCUAUGUACUAGGAAUAAAUAAGAUAAAGUCCCUGCCCUAUAGGAGUUCAGGACAUAUCAGGAGAAUUAACACGAAUGUAGCUAUAAUAUAAUCAUAAUAAUAACAAUCAUUAACUUUAUUGAGCCCAUUCGUAUAGUCCAGGCACCGUUCUAAGCAUUUCAUAUCAAUGUCUUUAAUCCUCACAACAAACCUAUGAGGUGGUAUCAUCAAUAUUGUGAAGAGAGCUGUACUGGAAAUGGAACAAAGGCUACAGGAACAGAAAGGAUGCAAUUCAUUCAGCUUGGGGAUAUGGGAAAUGGUGUCACA